UACUUCGGCAUGAAGACCCGCAGCCC
rnacentral:piRNA from 1 species